rnacentral:lncRNA from 1 species
UACUCUCUUAUUACAGUUGGUUGUAAUCCGGAGCUUAACAGACUUUUUGGGCUUCAUUUCGUUUUCGGAAUGGAGCGGGGCAAUAAAAUGCCUUUCAUCUAAAAAAAACGACUUUACUGAGCUCUGUUGAUGCAAGAAAAUUUAAACAUCAGUCGACCAUAUGGGCCUUGGCCACUCUGACUUAGUCAUACGUAAUUCGAUCAGACGGGGUAUGCGCAACAAUGAAAAAAACAAAAUUGUUCAAACAAAACCAAAUUCCAAAUUAAGAAAGAG